UAGAGUUUGAUCAUGGCUCAGAACGAACGUUGGCGGCAUGGAUUAGGCAUGCAAGUCGCACGAAUCCCAUCUGGGUAACUGGGUGGGGAAAGUGGCGAAAGGGGCAGUAAGGCGUGGGUAACUUGCCCCGGAGUUCGGAAUAGCCUUCCUAACGGAUGGGUAAUACCGAAUGCCGUAUCGAGGGGGCAUCCUCUUGAUACGAAAGUUACGGCGCUCCGGGAGGGGCCCACGUAGUAUUAGCUAGUUGGUGAGGUAACGGCUCACCAAGGCCAAGAUGCUUAGCAGGUGUGAGAGCACGACCUGCGCCACUGGCACUGGGACACUGGCCAGACUCCUACGGGAGGCUGCAGUCGAGGAUCUUCGGCAAUGGGCGCAAGCCUGACCGAGCGAUGCCGCGUGUGCGAUGAAGGCCUUCGGGUUGUAAAGCACUGUCGAGGGAGAGAAAGGCCCGCAAGGGUUUGAUCGAUCCCUGGAGGAAGCACGAGCGGAGUUCGUGCCAGCAGCCGCGGUAAUA
rnacentral:rRNA from 1 species